AAUGAAUAAGGUUAUAAUGAUCUAGACGAUCAAGAGCAGAACAUAAAAUUAAAGUUAAUAUUUGAAUCAAUAAUCAUGUAUUUGAAAAUAAUGUGUAUAUAUCUGAUAAGGUGUUGAAUAAGGUCAGAGCAGAGUGAGGCAAAAGAAUGAAAAAAUAACAAUGUUAAUAUUUGAAUUAUCUACAAUAGAUUCAAAAAGAAAAAAAUAUUUACUUGACUUA
rnacentral:lncRNA from 1 species